rnacentral:rRNA from 1 species
UACAGAGGUCCCAAGCGUUGUUCGGAUUCACUGGGCGUAAAGGGUGCGCAGGUGGUCGGGUAAGUCUGAUGUGAAAUCCCGCAGCUUAACUGCGGAAUGGCAUUGGAUACUAUUCGGCUAGAGGGUUGGAGGGGGGACUGGAAUUCUCGGUGUAGCAGUGAAAUGCGUAGAUAUCAGGAGGAACACCGGUGGUGUAGACGGCUUUCUGGACCGUAACUGACGCUGAGACACGAAAGCGUGGGUAGCAAACAGG